rnacentral:rRNA from 1 species
AGUUUGAUCCUGGCUCAGGACGAACGCUGGCGGCGUGCCUAAUACAUGCAAGUUGAACGCUUGAUUUUCACCGAAGCUUGCUUCACCGAAAAUCAAGAGUAGCGAACGGGUGAGUAACGCGUGGGUAACCUACCUAUCAGCGGGGGAUAACUAUUGGAAACGAUAGCUAAUACCGCAUAACAAUGUUGGAUGCAUAUUCGACAUUUGAAAGUACCAACUGGUACACUGAGAGAUGGACCCGCGUUGUAUUAGCUAGUUGGUAGUGUAAUGGACUACCAAGGCGAUGAUACAUAGCCGACCUGAGAGGGUGAUCGGCCACAUUGGGACUGAGACACGGCCCAAACUCCUACGGGAGGCAGCAGUAGGGAAUCUUCGGCAAUGGACGAAAGUCUGACCGAGCAACGCCGCGUGAGUGAAGAAGGUUUUCGGAUCGUAAAACUCUGUUGUUAGAGAAGAAUGUUGCAUAGAGUGGAAAAUUAUGCAAGUGACGGUAUCUAACCAGAAAGGGACGGCUAACUACGUGCCAGCAGCCGCGGUAAUACGUAGGUCCCGAGCGUUGUCCGGAUUUAUUGGGCGUAAAGCGAGCGCAGGUGGUUUAAUAAGUCUGAUGUAAAAGGCAGUGGCUCAACCAUUGUGUGCAUUGGAAACUGUUAGACUUGAGUGCAGUAGAGGAGAGUGGAAUUCCAUGUGUAGCGGUGAAAUGCGUAGAUAUAUGGAGGAACACCGGUGGCGAAAGCGGCUCUCUGGACUGUCACUGACACUGAGGCUCGAAAGCGUGGGUAGCAAACAGGAUUAGAUACCCUGGUAGUCC